AGCGAAAAAAAAAUAGUAAAAAUAAUGCUGCGCCACCUUCUUUCGUUCGUUGAGCUGUCCUCCGUGGCUUCUCCUCUCCACUCUUCUUCGCUCAUCACACGCUGCUGUUUAAGACUUCCAGGCACGAGUUCCUUUUGACGCCGCAGAUAAGAUAUCAUUGGGUACUUAGCACUUUCGAUUUGUACUAAAUUCUUUAAAUCCACCGCCGUCGUCGUCGCUGCAGCCGCCGCUGUCAGUAACUCGUUAACGCGCUACUACUUAGCCGCAAACAUCAAAAUGGGAAUACCGACACCUUGGUUGUCGUACAUAGCUCCAAUCUCAUGCUAGUUUCGUCAUCGCAGCCAUCAGCUCAACCUUUUGCGUCUUCUUCAUCGGAUGUUUUCAGCUACUUUAUCGCGCAGCGUCGUAUCCGAAAUCGUUGUGGUUUAGGCGCAGCGAAAGUGUGUAAUUUAAAUUUUCAACGCACCUUCCAAUGUGACAUGACACGUGACGUAGGCGAAAAUGGCGCAUCAAAUGAUGAAAGCAAUAGCGCUUAGACAGGGUUGCACCUGCUGAAAAGCGCUGUUGAAUUGCUGUUGAAUGAGCGUUGAAAGGGUAACACACAAGCGAAAUGCCAAACAGUCAUUCAAAUCAUAGUUAACCCCGACCAUUGGAGUGGAGGGUUCCUUUGAUGCCACAUAUUUACCGGUACAUACCUUGAACUUUGGUCUUCACCUGUAGCGUAUAGAGAGAGUUCAAUGGUGUAGCUUUUUGUUACACUCCUUAUCUUGUGAUGCUUGGCUUGUCGGCUGUUGAAGUUAGCGGUUGUGCCCGUUAUCGCUCCAAUUUCGAAAUGAAUGUUAAGCAUAAGCCGAGUCUGGGUGUUGGUAGACUUUGCGGCAUUGAUUUGGAGGUGUGCAUUGUUGGUUGCAGUUGGUUGGCGCACCAUCAAUUUCAUUGGAGUUACUUGAUUGAUGAAUAUUGAAGAAAUUCGCGAAAAUUUACAUGUUUCCACCGAUAUUGUACCUGAAGACGUAUCAAUACUUUUGAACCGGUGGUUUUACUCAAUAAGCGCAUAAGGCAGACACUGAGGGCUGCAUUCCUACAUUGUGAUCAUGUGAUGAUGUCAUGAAAUUCCUAAAGUUAGUCUGAAGCUUAAAGCUACUAUCGCAGGACUGUAGUUUUUUUGUAGAUUUAGCUGCAAACUCGGAGUAUUAAUCACAACACCAAGAGUCACUUAUUGUUAAUUUAUGAUGCUGGCCAUCGGUUCCGUCAACCUUUAUUAUCUACAGUCUAAUAAUGAGUGAAAGCGGGUUUUUAAGUAAUACAGAUCAGAUACCAGAGCCAAAAUACAUGUGUAUAUGCAAACAAACAAACAAAGAAGUAUGAGUGAGCGACUAAGUGGCUAGGACUUUCGGUAGACAAGCCAACACAUCAGUAGCUAACUACUUUAAUGACAGUAAACAUAACGCACAUUUCCCGAAAUCAUCAAGAAAAUAUCUCUCGCGAUCUCAUUGUAUUGGACCGAAAGCUGCUUAAGUCAUUUCUACCGUCAAGUGAGCGUAGCACACCUGAGGAUACAGCUUUAAAUUGUGUUAAAAAUAUUUAUGAUAGAAUAAAAAAAAUUCAGAAUUUCUUAGUAAUUAAACACAAUGAAAUACUGAAUUUAUUAGUCGACAAUCAACUUUCC